rnacentral:rRNA from 1 species
UACGGAGGGGGCUAGCGUUGUUCGGAAUUACUGGGCGUAAAGGGCUCGUAGGCGGCCAACUAAGUCAGACGUGAAAUCCCCAGGCUUAACCUGGGAACUGCGUGUGAUACUGGAUGGCUUGAAUCCGGGAGAGGGAUGCAGAAUUCCAGGUGUAGCGGUGAAAUGCGUAGAUAUCUGGAGGAAUACCGGUGGCGAAGGCGGCAUCCUGGACCGGCAUUGACGCUGAUGAGCGAAAGCUAGGGGAGCAAACGGG